rnacentral:rRNA from 1 species
UGGGGAAUAUUGCGCAAUGGGGGAAACCCUGACGCAGCAACGCCGCGUGGGUGAUGAAGGCCUUCGGGUCGUAAAGCCCUGUCAGCAGGGAAGAAACUCCGGGAUUCGAAUAGGGUCUCGGAUUGACGGUACCUGCGGAGGAAGCACCGGCUAACUCCGUGCCAGCAGCCGCGGUAAAACGGAGGGUGCAAGCGUUGUUCGGAAUUACUGGGCGUAAAGGGCUCGUAGGUGGCCAACUAAGUCAGACGUGAAAUCCCUCGGCUUAACCGGGGAACUGCGUCUGAUACUGGAUGGCUUGAGUUUGGGAGAGGGACGCGGAAUUCCAGGUGUAGCGGUGAAAUGCGUAGAUAUCUGGAGGAACACCGGUGGCGAAGGCGGCGUCCUGGACCAAUACUGACACUGAGGAGCGAAAGCCAGGGGAGCAAACGGGAUUAGAUACCCUUGUAGUCCCUGAGCGGGCUGGCAAGGCGCAU